rnacentral:rRNA from 1 species
CAGUAGCCACGGUAAUACGAAGGGGGCUAGCGUUGCUCGGAAUUACUGGGCGUAAAGGGAGCGUAGGCGGAUCGUUAAGUUGGGGGUGAAAGCCCGGGGCUCAACCUCGGAAUUGCCUUCAAUACUGGCGAUCUUGAGUAUGGAAGAGGUAUGUGGAACUCCGAGUGUAGAGGUGAAAUUCGUAGAUAUUCGGAAGAACACCAGUGGCGAAGGCGACAUACUGGUCCAUUACUGACGCUGAGGCUCGAAAGCGUGGAGAGCAAACAGGAUUAGAGACCCCUGUAGUCCCUGUCUCUUAUAC